rnacentral:rRNA from 1 species
CUCUUUUAGAAAAAAAUAAAAGUAUAUUCUGCUCAAUGAUUAAUUAAAUAGCUACAUAAUUUGUACUAAGGUAGCAUUAUCAAUUGUCUAUUAAAUGUGGUCUUGUAUGAAAGAAUAAAUAAUUAAUUUCUUUAUUUUUAAUAUUUUUUGAAUUUGAACUUUUAGUUAAAAUGCUAAAAUGAAUUAUAGGGACAAGAAGACCCUAUAAAGCUUUUAAUAAUAAUUAUGAUAUUUAUUGUAUUUAAUUUUUAAUUGGGUUAAUUAUUUAUGAAUAAAAUAUAGAUUUAAAUAUAUUAAUUUAUAAAGAUCCUGUAUUAUAGAAAAUUGAAUAAGUUACUUUAGGGAUAACAGUAUAAUUUUUAUUUAUAAGUUCAAAUUUACAAUAAAGAUUGUAACCUCGAUGUUGAAUUAAUUUUAUUAUAUGGAGAAGGAUCUAUAUUAUAAUUUGACUGUUUGUCAAUUAAAAAAUUACA